AAAUAAAGAUUUUGGAAAGAUAGACCGUCGGUUUGGAGAAGAAGGUUUGAAGCUAGGGUAAGCUUGAUCCGCCCAAACGAAGAAGAAAAAGAAAGGGAAUUUAGUUUCUAAAUGCAUGAUUUGAAGGGGAAACAUGGUGGGAAGAGGAAUUUUAAAAGAAUUUUACAGUUAAGAGAGUGGAGAGAGAGGAGAUUUUUGUUCGGUGGGA
rnacentral:lncRNA from 1 species